rnacentral:lncRNA from 1 species
AGGAGAAGAAGCAGGAGGAGGAGGAGAGAAGGAAAGGGAGGAGGAGGAGGAGAAAAAGAUGGUGGUAGAGGAGGAGGAGAAGAAGAAGAAGGAGGAGAAGGAGAAGGAGAAGAAGGAGCAGGAGGAGGAGGAAGAAGAAGAAGAGGAGAAGGGAACUCACAUGCUACCUGUGUGAGUCACAUGUCAGUGCAAUUUCUGGAGGUCAAUUGUAGCCCUGAAGUCUCAGAACAAUGGCAAAAAGAAAUACGGAGGGCAUGAUACAUUUGGCAGACUAAAAUUCUCAAGAUUCCUAUGCAGUCGAGUUUUACCAUAUGACUGAGUUCCAACAAAGAAAUAUGAGUAGAAGAUUGUAUAAGCAUCAUUUUUGACCCAGGGCUUUAAGAAGCAGUUGGCUGGCUAUGCAGUGAAGCUCCAUAUGUCCCACAUUCAUUCUUCAGAAUAACUUGGGCAAGUUCUCAUGGUGAAAGUAGAGGUGCAAAGGUAAACAAGUCCAAUUAUCUAAGUAUGUGCGAA